UUGUGGUAUCUUUGUAGUCUAGCGUAUUGGCACACCAGACACACAGGCUGUUUAUCCUCCAGACAGAAGAGCUUGAGUUUCUCACUGUGCAGACUGCAGA